CGGCGGGGCGCACGUGAGCGCACGCGGCGCUUGUUUCUAAUUUUAGCUCCGGCUGCCUCCGGGGGGUCGGGCGAGAAGCUGAGCUACAAUUAUGUUUUAGGAUGCGUACAUCUAUCAAGUAAUGAAGCUAGCUGGAAACUACUGGAGGGGGUGUUCUAUCGAAAUGAGGGAAUAAACCAAGAGGAAUGCGUGAGACGCUGGAACCAGGGACUCCAACUAGUGUUACAAAGGAAUAGAGCAGCAGCAUGGACUGGAUUCUCUGGAAGAAGAUGCAGAAGUAUAAAUAUAAGGAACAGCAAGAGACAGCAGGUUGGGAGAAACUACAUAUGAAGCAGCAAAGAACCACACAAAGAGCAGAGCCAGAAGUAAUCAACUUGGUUCACUGACACCAUCAACCUCACAUUCUGUACCAGGAUAAAACAACGAGAAGCAGAGAAGAUGUCCACUGAGACUGAGGACUGAGGGUCUAGGCAAUAAUUUAGAGGACUGGUGGGAGUUCCUUUCACCUAUGAUAUUCCAGAAUGACUAUCCUUGAAUUUAAUGCACUACUUUGUACAUCUUCUUUGAUUAGAAAUUUACCAAUAAAUACAAAUUUUCAGGAAAGUUCU